UUGAACUUUAUUCUUCAGGUAACAGAUAUUUCAAGAGUAUUAAGCAUAAACGUGGUGCAAUUCAGUGUGUUCUUUUAAAUAACCCUUUGCAGCUCUAUGGAGGCUGGACUAUAAUAGGCAGAGCCUGACGCACGAAGAUGAGAUCCUGAGAUUGGGCAAGCAAGAGACACUGCGCCAGGGCAGCGUGCAGCCAAGGUUGCCUUAGAGACAUAAGCUCUAAGACAAGAGAGCCUAUUUGAAAUGAACAUACAGCAAAAACUAGAUUUCCAGUAACACACAUUCCAAGGUGGUUGAC
rnacentral:lncRNA from 1 species